AGGGUUGCUGGAGGUAUCAGAAGUGCGAAUGCUGACAUAAGUAACGAUAAAGCGGGUGAAAAGCCCGCUCGCCGGAAGACCAAGGGUUCCUGUCCAACGUUAAUCGGGGCAGGGUGAGUCGACCCCUAAGGCGAGGCCGAAAGGCGUAGUCGAUGGGAAACGGGUUAAUAUUCCCGUACUUGGUGUUACUGCGAAGGGGGGACGGAGAAGGCUAUGUUGGCCGGGCGACGGUUGUCCCGGUUUAAGCGUGUAGGUGUGUGUUCCAGGUAAAUCCGGUUCACUUUAACACUGAGGCGUGACGACGAGGCACUACGGUGCUGAAGCAACAAAUGCCCUGCUUCCAGGAAAAGCCUCUAAGCAUCAGGUAACAUCAAAUCGUACCCCAAACCGACACAGGUGGUCAGGUAGAGAAUACCAAGGCGCUUGAGAGAACUCGGGUGAAGGAACUAGGCAAAAUGGUGCCGUAACUUCGGGAGAAGGCACGCUGACACGUAGGUGAAGUGAUUUACUCA
rnacentral:rRNA from 1 species